UGAGAAAGAUGAUGGGUACAUUGACAAAGGGAAAUAACUUAAAGAAUGUGAAAGUCGUCAAUAACCAAGUACACAAAUGUGAUAAUAUUGCAUUUGUUACAAUUAUGGUAGGAAGUGUGAAGGGAAGUACAUGUAAGUGUCUUAGUAUAGACGAAGAAAAUAACAAAACCUGCAGACAACAUGGUCCAUUUUCAAAAACAAGGAUCAUUCACCUGAGACCAUAUUGUAAAAUCAAUUACAAGUAUACCCUGCAUAGAACUCUUAGAAAUAAUGUGAUCAAAUAUGUUUAGUAGGAAGUUGUUUUGCAGAUUUUAUUUGUACUUUUUAGAGACACUGUGUGAUGGUGCUUGCAGUUUUAGGAUUCUGGUGGGCAUUUCAGUUUUGUAGCGUAUUUGUUUUACAAACCAGCUACUGUCUUUGUUGAGCAGGGACGUGACACGUAUUGUUUUUAUGUUGGCACUCCACAUUGUUAUUUAUGUUUAAUGUUGUUCAUGUACAUCCUUUUAUUUAAUUUUCUUUUAAAUCGAUGGUUUUUUAUAAUGAAUAAAUGAACAUCAUAC
rnacentral:misc_RNA from 1 species